rnacentral:rRNA from 1 species
UACGUAGGGUGCGAGCGUUAAUCGGAAUUACUGGGCGUAAAGCGUGCGCAGGCGGUUAUGUAAGACAGAUGUGAAAUCCCCGGGCUCAACCUGGGAACUGCAUUAGUGACUGCAUAGCUGGAGUACGGCAGAGGGGGAUGGAAUUCCGCGUGUAGCAGUGAAAUGCGUAGAUAUGCGGAGGAACACCGAUGGCGAAGGCAAUCCCCUGGGCCUGUACUGACGAUCAUGCACGAAAGCGUGGGGAGCAAACA